rnacentral:lncRNA from 1 species
GGCCUGCAGCUGUGGCUCUGAUUUGACCCCUAGCCUGGGAACUUCUAUAUCUUCAGGUGUGGUCAUAAAAAGAAAAAAAAUCUCUUCUGCCUAAUCCAGGGAGUGACCACUCUAUCAUAUUCACACUGACAGGAGAAGACUGGACAAGGGUGCUCACCAGGGGGUUGGGGGACUUGGAGGCAUCUCAGACACUGUCUCCCUCAACCAGUCUCCUCCAUAUGAUCAUCUACCUGUGUUCCAACAUGGACUUGACCCCUUACCAGCUCUGUGUCCUUGAGCAGGUCACAUAAACUUUCUAAGCCUCAGUCUCCUCAUCUCUAAAUUGAAGACACUGACAUUGUGGAGAGUGAUACAUUGGUUUCCUGUCUGUAACAAUCUACCCCAAGCUUCAUGGCUCAGAACAACCCCUGACCAUUGGCUUAUGGUUCUGUAGGUCAAAGUCAACCUGGUGUGACUGGGUUCUCUGGUCAGCAUACCCUGAGAGUGACAAGCUGUAGGCUGGGCUGCCUUCUUGUCUGGAGGCUGUGAAGGGAAAUCCACUGCUAACUCCUUCUUGUUGUUGGCAGAAUUCAGUUCCCUGCAAUUGCAGCACUGAGGUCCCCGCUUCCUUGCUGGCUAUUGUCUGGGGUCUCUCUCAGCUCCUGGAGUCCACAUGCAUUACUUGCCAGAUGUCCACUUCCAUCCUCCAUCUUCAAGGCAGCCAAGGCAUGGUAAGUCCUUCUUGAUUUUUGAAUCUUAAUUUAUCCAUAUCUGACUCAAAGGACUCCUGUGAUUAGGUCAGGCCCACCUGGAUGGUCUCCCUGCAUUAAGGUCAACUGAUUUGGGACCUUUAUUACAUCUGCAAAAUCUCUUCACAGCAUUUUCAAACCUAGAUUACUGGUUGAAUAACUGUGAGAAGGUAUGUGUAUACCAGACCCUGGGCAUCUUGGAAAAAUCUGGGAACCCUUCUGCCACGGUUGGCUACAAAGACCACAUAAGAUAUUCUAAAUAAAGUGCUUGGCAAAGGGCCCGACAUAGAGUAAAUGCUCAUAGACAUUGGUUAUUUAUUUGUUAAGUUGUUAUCCACAAUUUAUUUCAAACACUUAGCACAGUGCUGGCGUAUAGAUAAAAUCACUGUUCACUUGGUGAGUCUUUAAUUUCUAUCCUGAUCUUUUAAAACAGGUCAAGGGGGAAAGUAAGAGCCAAAGAAAGAACACUUUUGGUACGCCAAAAGACCAUCUUAUUCCAGUUUCACCUUUGCUGGGAAAUUCUAUCUUAAAAGAAACAUUUAUAAACGUGACCCAUAUUGGAGUCCCCGUCUUGCCUCAGCGAUAAGGAACUUGACUAGUAUCCAUGAGGAUGCGGGUAUCCAUGAGGAUCCCUGGCCUCCUUCAUUGGGUUAAGGAUCCAGCAUUGCCGUGAGCUGUGGUGUAGGUUGCAGACGAGGCUUGGAUCCUGCAUUUCAGUGGCUGUGACGCAGGCUGGCAGCUGUAGCUCCGAUUGAACACCUAGUCUGGGAAUUCCAUAUGCUGUGGGUGCGGCCCUAAAAAACAAACAAAAAACAAACAAAAAAGUCCAAAAAAAAUGGCCCAUAUUUAUAUAAAGUAGCUUUUUUUUGUUUGUUUGACCAUAUUAGCCAAUGAGAAAAAGGGAAACAAAAGGCUAAAUUCACAGUUGAACUGCAGUGAUGGAAAAGAUUUCACAGGACCCUCCAGGAAUCCCUGCUCUGAUAUUUUAAUACCAUUGUCAAAUGUCACUGAAUAUCACUCUUCUGGCUCUUGAAAGUAUUAAGUAUGUUCAUAUUUGUGCCCUCCACAAAAGCUAGUAUUUCAAUCUCUAAAUUACAGAAUGAGAAAUUUUUUUCUCUCUAUGCUUACAGAGAUGUUUGAAGGAGCUGGAGAGCAUUCAUAAUCCAUACACAUUCAAAGGGCAUCUUUGCAUUUUGAAAUAGCUUCUGCAUGCAUAAAAAGGAUCCUUUCUUUUGGGGGGCUUUUUGCAAACCCAGUUCAUCUGUCAUUAUUCUGUGGCAGCACAAUUCAGUCUUCUUGUUUUGUUUUGAUAAAUUGUUCUUUUUGACUUUUCUUCAACUCUUUAAGAAAAAAUGGUCAUAUAGCCCAAGAACCAAGAGCUAUUGUGAUUUGAGCCAGAGGCUCAUUCAUACAAGUUAAUUUCCAAGCCUGCUUCACAUCCAUCAAAGUGGACACCCUCAUGCAUGACACAUCUGUUGUAGUCCUUGAAGCUGUUCCACAUGCUUAAUAUAGAAGAGAGAUAAAGGCACGCAAUGACUCGUGGUUUUAAAUUGCUAGCAUGGCAAGUAGGAAGUAUGUCUUGCCCUGCCUUGCCCUUGUGACCAAAGAAAGACUCCUCAGAAACGUUGGGGGGCAGUACCAGUCAAGAAUAAAGAACAGGUUCAUGAUUGGGGAGGGUUUUAUGGUGAGCUACUCACAUAUGCCCCUCCCUUCAGGACUAGAGUGGUCUUGAUUCCCAUGGCUGGAGGUGUCCCUGAUUGAUAGCUCAGGGGAGACCCUCUCAGAGGAUUGUCCUCUGCUGAGAAAAGUAUCCCACCUACACUGACCCUCUGUUCCUCAAGUCAGCCUGCACCCAGGGACCAGCUCAUGCAGAGAUCCAAAGGCUCAGACUCUUUCUUUCAUUUUGAUGCAGUUCUGCUGCAACAUAAAUUAUGGACUGAAUUGUGCCCUCUCCAUUUCCAAUUCAUAUCUUGAAGUCCUAACCCUCAGUACUUAAGAAUGUGACUAUAUUUGGAGAUAAAGCCUUGAAAGGGGUAAUUAAGUUAAAAUGGGGUGACUGGAAUAAGUCCUAAUCAAAUACGAAUGGUGUCCUCAUACAAAAAAGAGAUUAGGACACAGACACACACACCCAGGAAGACCAUGUGAGACAUAGAGAGAAGAUGGCCUUGGACAUGCCAAGGAAAGAGGCUUCCGAGGAAACUGACAAGCUGACACAUUGGCCUUUUAAUUUUAGCAUCUGGAAGUGAGAGAAAAUGCAUUUCUGAUGUUAAAACCACCCAGGCUGUGAUCCUUUGUUACGGCAGCCUUAGCAAACCAAUUCACUCUGCCAGCUUCAGAGUUCCUGGUGGGUUCAACUUCUCCAUCUCUCCACUCUGCUUUCCUUGUUCAGCUCCCUCCCCAGUUAUCAAUCAAGAGCAUGAUCCAAUAAAUCUCCUGCUUGCAAAUAUCCUCAGUCUGCUUCUCCAGAAACUUGAUCUAUGACAACCACCAUCUCUUUUAUGGCAAUCUGAAUUAUUUUCUUUUUAUGUGCACUUUCUCCAUCAUUUCCAAUAAAGCAAAUGACAGGUGCCAAUCACACAUGAAACCUGCUGCCUAAGGUCUGUCCAACAGGUAACUAUGCUACACACAGUACUCGGUGGCGAACCAACCAGGUUUUGUGCUUGGGUUGACCAGUGGUUAAGAGCCCCAGAUUCACUUUAAAAUAGCAUUAGGAGCCAACUUGACCUAUAAAUUUAAUCUAAAUAAAGCAACAGUAGAUUCAUUGAAAUGGGGGCUCCAUCAUAUAGUCACUACCAUUUCCCAUUGGGAAAUGGACCUCAAAGUUCUGUGUGUACCUCUUCUGAUGGGAAACCAGGCCCACGGGUAACUGCCAGGACAGCCAUAACGAGUCAAUGUAAAGUAUGUCUUAAUAUGGCUAAAACCAUCCGGAGCAGAGACAUAUUUCUGCAGAUGUAUUUCGUGGUUCUAAGGCUAGGUGUAUCCUUUUGAUUAAGAGUAAUGGAUUUCUGUUGGUGUCAGAGGUAGGUUACUUAAAUGGGUUUUAACAAAUCCAUAAACAUGAGUCCACAUGGUCUGAAGGUGUGGUCUCGGGGUAUGACAGGCACUCUGGGAUUUGUCCAGGUCAUCUCAGAAGAAACUGACACAGCUGACACCCUGACCUCAGACUUCUAGCCUCCAGAAGUCUGAGUAAAUGAAUUUCUGUUGUUAAAACCAGCCAGUUUGAGACCCUUGGUUAUGGCAGCCCUAGCAAACCAAUUUACCCAUGACAACUUCAGGUCUUAAGGUUGUGGAUGCCAGUGAAUGGCAAAGAAUCUGCAUUUCUUCACCUGAAGACUUUCUUUGUGCUAGGAGAUUCUAACCAAAUAUCCAAUAAACUGGGAGACUGGAGAGUUAACGCUUCCACCCAAGCAGCUCUCAACCAAAGACUGGUUGGCAUUGAGGUUGAAAUCCCCCCACUGAAUCACCCUUGGCUGGGAAAACCCAGACCUUUCCAGAGGGAUAAAGUUCUGGUUGUGUGGGGUGGUCAUUUGAUUACAUAUCUGCCUCAACCUUUUCACCCCUACUUUACCCACAAAUAAUCUACCUGCACUUUAAUCUGUCUACUUUUGGGAGACCUCAAAUGAAGAUUCAAGAAGAAAAUUAGUCGACUAUCAACUUAUCCUGUUUCCAUCCUACCAAAGGUUGAUUUAAUGUAACUCAGCUUCUGACUCAGUUAAGGUAUAGACCUUCUUCCCACACUUGGCUGUCACUCACAUGGUGCCCUCCGUCCCCCUCACUGAGAAGACAGUGCCAGGAAUAGGUCUUUUGACGCAAAGCUCUUCUUCACAAUGUAGUCUGUGACAUGAAAUUACCCUUCCAAUGAGGGAGCCAUUGUGUAUCGGGCUCUCACGUGGCACCCUUGUCAACCCUGUGAACCCAGCUGCAACCCCCUAUUGUAUAUUUCAUACAUCAGCUCCCGAAAAUGCUCUAUUUCCUUGCUCUUUUAUUUGAUUAAGAACAUCUGCAGAGGUGGUUCAGCUACAAAAGUUAAUAAUUACUCUUUUUUUUAUCACAGUAAUUAAAAAUUUCAAGGAAGAAUUGCCAUUCAUUGCUGCUCAUGAGGCUGCCCAUGGUGGAGAGUGCUUUAUAAAGCCUACAAAUCACAACCUUAAAACAUGCCAUCAUAGGAGGAAUAGAAACUCUCCUCAAAACAGGGAUGCUAUGCCAAGUUGAGAGGUGGCUGUGAAGCCUGGUCAUGAGGCUCAGCGGAAUGGGGGCCACCAGAGAACUGUGCACAUCAUCAGUCGUGCAGUCUCAUUUUCCCAAUGUUUCCAUUAGCAUCUGACAGUCCUGUGGAUGCCAUUUACAGUUCAAAGGAAGCUCAUUAACAUAGCAUCCCUAAAGAGCAUUUUGUGAGGACAAAAGCUGUUUUUCUCAAGCUGGUGUUCCUCCCACUCCUGCAGAAGAAUCUUUUUUGUUCAAAAGGCAAAUCCCAAGAGAACAAUCACUCCUGUGUAAUUUUCCAUAGGUCCAUGUCUCAUACAAUAAGAAAGAGCAAACUGAAGAUGUUCUAUGCAAAAUGCUCCUAGAGGGCUGGGUUGUGGCAGCAGUGGGAGUGUGUGUGUGUGUGUGUGUGUGGUACCCUGUGGGUGGCAUUGUGUAGUUUCUGGAGUGUCUAGAAGUGGGGGGGUGGGGGAGACUGUUCCAUCUACAUCUCUCCUCUCAACCCCACUCUGCCCUCUCUUUAUCCCCUCCAUCAUCCACUAUCUGCUCCAAACUUUGUUACUUUGUCUUAUACAUACGUGAAUGUGUGUGUAUAUAUACACACACACACACACACACAUCAUAUACACAUAUAUAUACACACAUAUGCAUAGGUGUGUGUGUGUGUGUAUAUAUAUAUAUAUAUAGGUGUAUCUAUAUACAGUGAUUCACAAUUUUAAAGGUUAUAUUCAAUUACAGUUAUUAUAAAAUUUUGGCUGUAUUUCCUGUGUAGGACAAUAUAUCCUUAUAGCUUAUGUUAUAGGUAGUAGUUUGUACCUCUUACUCCCCUCUCCCUAUUUUACCUCUCUCCUCUUCCCUCUUCCCACUGGUAGACACUAAUUUGUUUUCUAGAUCUAUGAGCCUGCUUCUUUUUUUUAACCUACUUGUGAAGACUCUCUUUAAAUGCCAGAUAAAGGAAUCUUUGCCCACCUAGACUGUAAAUCCCUGGGGAAAAUACCAUCUUUCACUUUGGUCCAUUUCCAUUCAGCAAUCUAUGUAGCCAACUGAAGGGUAUAGAAAAAGGCCUCAGUCACACUACUCUACUGGACAGGUGGGCUGUGAAUAACCUGAUUACCACAACUGACUCAGGAACCCCAAAAAGAAACCCCAUUUGAGAAAAAGAUGGGGACGUUGGCCCCUGGUGCUCUCUCUGGAAGAAGCAACCCUGACUCUUCUCUCUCUGACCAUCUGUGGUCCAUCCACCCUCCCUGUCAUCCUUCUAAACCACACUGCCUUCAUCCUAACAAGCUUAAAUAACUUUGGUCUCCACAUCAUACUUUGAACAUCAAACAUAACUUCCAGGAGUCUUAAUCAAUUAAGUUUUUUUUUUUUUUCAAAUAUUUCUUAGAGAAUACCCCUAAGGUUGUUAAGUCUCUCUCAGGGGUUUCAGAUGGUGCCAAAGUACCUACUGAAAAAUUUUAUUUAAUUCUGAGUUUUGUCGCACUGUCUUUUGUUUAAUGGGCUAUACAAAACACACAUGCUUAUAUGUACAUAAAUGCAAUGUUUCUCCUCCCGGUCUUUAUUGAUCCCAAAGGAAGAUGGGUUCUGUUUUACAGUGGUCUUAAAUCCUCCCUGGCACACUGUUCCAUACGCUCCAUAGCAGUGGUGCUAGGACGCACUCCAGACAGAAAAUCAUGACUUACUGCCCCAAAGCCAGUGUGCUUGGUAUAUUGGUACAUUUGCAUAACAUUGAUUGAUAGAUAGAUGGAUAGAUAGACAGACAUGAAUGGAUAGAUGAUGGAUAGAUAUAGAUGGAUAGACAGAAAGAGAUAAUAGAAAAACAAUAUUGAAAGAUAAAUAAUAGAAAGAUGACAGCUAGUUAGCUAGCUAGCUAGAUAUUGAUGGAUAGCUAGAUGAUGGAUGGAUGGAUGGAGAGGUAGAUAGUGAUGAUAAAUAAACAAAAGAUAUUUGAACUUACAAAAGUAUUUAUCCUCCAUAAACUACAAUGUUAAGAUCUAAUUCAGUCUUCUAAACUCUACAUUUUAAAACCAAAUACAUUAUGAAUAUCAAAGUCUUCUCAAGGGAAGGAAAGAGAAAGACCUCAUCAUUAUUAAAUGUUUCUCUGCUGGAGUCUGAGGUAUGUGAUUUCACCUGUGUAAACUCAGGUCGUUCAGAUACUACUUGUAAAAUAACUCUUAUUAUCCUAAUUUUGGAGUAAGACCGUCUUAUUUUUUUCUUUUGAAGAAAAACAAUUAAAACAACACCAACAAAAGAAUAACCAACCUCCCAAAAA